AUUGAACGCUGGCGGCAGGCCUAACACAUGCAAGUCGAACGGUAACAGGAAGAAGCUUGCUUCUUUGCUGACGAGUGGCGGACGGGUGAGUCAUGUCUGGGAAACUGCCUGAUGGAGGGGGAUAACUACUGGAAACGGUAGCUAAUACCGCAUAACGUCGCAAGACCAAAGAGGGGGACCUUCGGGCCUCUUGUCAUCGGAUGUGCCCAGAUGGGAUUAGCUAGUAGGUGGGGUAACGGCUCACCUAGGCGAAGUUCCCUAGCUGGUCUGAGAGGAUGACCAGGCACACUGGAACUAGUCUACGGCCCAAACUCCUACGGGAGCAGACAGUCGGGCAUAUUGCACAAUGGGCGCAAGCCUGAUGCAGCCAUGCAGAGUGUAUGAAGAAGGCCUUCGGGUUGUAAAGUACUUUCAGCGGGGAGGAAGGGAGUAAUGUUAAUACCUUUGCUCAUUGACGUUACCCGCCGAAGAAGCACCGGCUAACUCCGUG
rnacentral:rRNA from 1 species